rnacentral:rRNA from 1 species
CCCUACGGGGGGCAGCAGUGGGGAAUAUUGCACAAUGGGGGAAACCCUGAUGCAGCGACGCCGCGUGAGCGAUGAAGUAUUUCGGUAUGUAAAGCUCUAUCAGCAGGGAAGAAAAUGACGGUACCUGACUAAGAAGCUCCGGCUAACUACGUGCCAGCAGCCGCGGUAAUACGUAGGGGGCAAGCGUUAUCCGGAUUUACUGGGUGUAAAGGGAGCGUAGACGGCGAUGCAAGCCAAAUGUGAAAGCCCGGGGCUCAACCUCGGGACUGCAUUUGGAACUG